rnacentral:rRNA from 1 species
AACGAACGCUGGCGGCAGGCUUAACACAUGCAAGUCGAGCGCCCCGCAAGGGGAGCGGCAGACGGGUGAGUAACGCGUGGGAAUCUACCCAUCUCUACGGAAUAACGCAUGGAAACGUGUGCUAAUACCGUAAACGUCCUUCGGGAGAAAGAUUUAUCGGAGAUGGAUGAGGCCGCGUUGGAUUAGCUAGUUGGUGGGGUAAAGGGCUACCAAGGCGACGAUCCAUAGCCGGGCAGAGAGGAUGACCAGCCACACUGGGACGGAGACACGGCCCAGACUCCUACGGGAGGCAGCAGUGGGGAAUAUUGGACAAUGGGCGCAAGCCUGAUCCAGCCAUGCCGCGUGAGUGAUUAAGGCCCUAGGGUUGUAAAGCUCUUUCACCGGUGAAGAUAAUGACGGUAACCGGAGAAGAAGCCCCGGCUAACUUCGUGCCAGCAGCCGCAGUAAAAC